GACGAACGCUGGCGGCGUGCCUAACACAUGCAAGUCGAGCGAGUGAAUCUCCUUCGGGAGUGAAGCUAGCGGCGGACGGGUGAGUAACACGUGGGUAACCUGCCUCAUAGAGGGGAAUAGCCUUCCGAAAGGGAGAUUAAUACCGCAUAAGAUUGUAGCUUCGCAUGAAGUAGCAAUUAAAGGAGCAAUCCGCUACGAGAUGGGCCCGCGGCGCAUUAGCUAGUUGGUGAGGUAACGGCUCACCAAGGCGACGAUGCGUAGCCGACCUGAGAGGGUGAUCGGCCACAUUGGGACUGAGACACGGCCCAGACUCCUACGGGAGGCAGCAGUGGGGAAUAUUGCACAAUGGGGGAAACCCUGAUGCAGCAACGCCGCGUGAGUGAUGACGGCCUUCGGGUUGUAAAGCUCUGUCUUCAAGGACGAUAAUGACGGUACCUGAGGAGGAAGCCACGGCUAACUACGUGCCAGCAGCCGCAGUAA
rnacentral:rRNA from 1 species